AGUCAAAUUUAUAGAAACAGAAAGAACUGUGGGAUCCAGUGGGGGCAGGGAAGAGGAAACACAGAGCUGUGGGUACAGAUCUUCAGUCACAAAAUGAAUGCCAGAGAGGCGUUGUAUGGCAGGGAGAAGAGGUAGAGCCCUGCUGUAGGAUACACUGGUGCAUGGCUAACGGUAAUAGUAAAUGUAACGUUAUUGUUUCUAACCUACUAUACUUUUUAACAGAUUUCUUUAAGAGAAAAAUUGGGGUGAAGAAGCUGGGGCCUUUGAAACGUUCUUGCCUUCAACGAGGAAGUUCCGGGUGUGACAAAUACAAAGAGUUGAAUAGCCGCAGCACCCAGAGCCAAAUGUGAACUUGAGCCUCUCGGUGAGCCGGCACGGGACACAAGCCUUGUCUUGUGAGAAAUAGAACUGAACUUCCCCAGAACCGCUUCAACCUCAGCGGGCCGCUGGGACGCGUACAACACGCUGAUUGGCCAGGAGCCCUUCCUGCCAGUGAGCAGGCGAUGACGCAGCAUGACUCCCUGCAGAGAGUAUAAAAGGCCGGCCGGCCAGGCGUGAUCGUCCUUUCUGCGAGCGGAACAGGCAAGUGUACACACCUUUCUUCUAUAAUACUUUAACUAUGUUCAGUAUCAAACACCGGGUCGUGGAAUUAGUGGUGGAACUUCUAGCUAACUUUGUCCUGCAUAAGAUCAGAUUGUAUGUACCUGAAUUAUUCAAGACAUUACUACAGAACCAGUGGAAGUUCACAGAUUGUUUAAAAACUAUGUGCCAUUUUCUAUUGAAGAAGACCCUUAUCUAUGUCCUGAGCAAUCUUGCUUCCAGAAUACACAAACCGAUGGCCGGAGAAGUCUUCCUAAAUAUGUCAUAUUAUUGUCGACACAAGAAGAGGUUUUCUGAACCCACAGUUGAGUUUGUGGUUUAGCUACCCUUAAACACCUAAGCGAUCUGGGUUCCUUGGGUGAAUACUUAGCACCGGGAGGACAGCAAAUUCUAAAAAUUGGUCCUAUGCACGUCCAACUCUGGACCCAGCCGGUGCCUACGACAAACGGCCACAUUCUGACGUGACAUAGUUCACAGACGGAAGCUUAUUUGCUGAUCUCCUCCUCGCGACAUCGUCUUUAUAUCUAGUAAAGCCAGUUAUUUAUGCCGCACCCAUCGUCUUUCUUUCAGAAGAACUUCCUCAAGCCUGCGGAGUUCCCCUUCGUCCACUGUCUCUCCUCCCCCGCUCAGAGCACAUUUCCGGUUCCUCUUGAAUCUGUGCCUCCCAGAUUUCAAAAAAAAAAAAAAGGUUUUGUUUUGCUUUGCAGCCUCAGUUCUUUCUUUUUUGACACAAAGGAGCAAAUAAACUUCGUAUCAACA